rnacentral:rRNA from 1 species
UACGAAGGGGGCUAGCGUUGUUCGGAAUCACUGGGCGUAAAGGGCGCGUAGGCGGCUGUUCAAGUCGGGGGUGAAAGCCUGUGGCUCAACCACAGAAUUGCCUUCGAUACUGGACGGCUCGACGACCGGAAGAGGUCAGUGGAACUGCGAGUGUAGGAGGUAGAAAUUCGUAGAUAUUCGCAAGAACACCAGUGGCGAAGGCGGCUGACUGGUCCGGUUCUGACGCUGAGGCGCGAAAGCGUGGGGAGCAAACAGG